AGGCGGCAGGCGAAAAAGAAUUGUGUGUCAAAGCCAGCCGAGAGUGAGUGUCGUGAAAAUUUUAUACGCCGUAGAAUCCUCUUUCUAUCUUAUGGUGCACGCCAAUCACCAUCAAGGCAUCGUAGCUACCAGCGUGUUUCAUAGCCCGAUACAGUUUACAUAAAACUAUAAAAUUAUGGUCGUAGCCGAAAACCCCAAGAGAAGGAGACGCGGAGGAUCGUAGAUGAAGAGAAAGAGGGAGAGAAGCUAUAUCGUAAAGUCGAUGGGGAUACUUCAGGAUCUUGAUUGCUUUUCUCUGAUCACUCCCAAUCGUCCGUGACUACAGAUACAAAAGAACUGGACAUGCCAGAAGCCACCACUCCCGACGCCUGCGGCCCUGACAGCCCCAUCGAUUUUGGUGCUGAAGCCGAUAUACUUAGUGCUGAGGGAAGGGCUAAAUCACCCUUCACUUCCUGUUCGGGUUAAGGGUGACGGUCCUGGGAUGUAACGUCUUCACAGAGAUCCAACGAGAUUGAACUUGUUUUUGUUACUGAAUUAUGGCCAUCCGGAACUCAAGACAUUGAAGGAUAGUAUAUAGUCGUUGGUAUCGAAGCAAUCGUUUUGCAAUUCCAUUCUCUACUUGCCUGACCAUUGUUCCUCCACUUGAGGAACAAGUAGAUUUACCCAGGUCAUGGUCAGACACGAUAGACGAAUGAAAAUAUACAUUUCUUCGUAUCGCUAUUUUGAAAUUCGGUUGAAUCUGGACCUCUUUCAUUUACAGUGACCCAGAAACCAUGUAUUUUAUACAUUUAGACAAUACACACGAUUGACGUCACGAAUUUUUAGUUCGUAUCACGAGAGCACCCAGGAAAAUUGGGGUCGACUCUAUCAACUUUACGACGUAGAGAACGAAAAGAAACGAUGUUUCUUUAAUAAAAUCGCUUAUCUAACUGAUAGCAUUUCUAGAUAUUUCAAACGCUAUCUAGGAGCAACAUCUUUCGUUACCAAAAGCAAAAGCUUCUUAACCCAGUUUCGUAUCAGGAAGUCGCAUCUGCGAAUGUUUUAAAUUGAAAAAGGGAACGAUGAAAGAGGAGUAUUGCUUCACAAAUUGGUUUACAAAUUUUAAUUAUUGCAAAAAUAUUAAAAAAAUAUAGCCCAUGCUUAAUAUAUCGUAAAAGUAUCAGAACAGUAAAAA